ensembl:snRNA LOC120100478 U6atac minor spliceosomal RNA
GUGUUGUAUGAAAGGAGAGAAGGUUAGCACUCCCCUUGACAAGAAUGGAAGAGGCCCUUGGGCCUAGCAACACACAUACAAAUGCUUAGUGCAGGACGUGGCACCAUUUGAAAAAAUUA